GCAUAUCAAUAAGCGGAGGAAAAGAAACCAACAGGGAUUGCCUCAGUAACGGCGAGUGAAGCGGCAACAGCUCAAAUUUGAAAUCUGGCCCUUUCAGGGUCCGAGUUGUAAUUUGUAGAGGGUGCUUUGGCGUCGGCCGUGGUCUAAGUUCCUUGGAACAGGACGUCACAGAGGGUGAGAAUCCCGUACGUGGCCGCCGGUCUUCGCCGUGUAAAGCCCCUUCGACGAGUCGAGUUGUUUGGGAAUGCAGCUCUAAAUGGGAGAUAAAUUUCUUCUAAAGCUAAAUAUUGGCCAGAGACCGAUAGCGCACAAGUAGAGUGAUCGAAAGAUGAAAAGCACUUUGGAAAGAGAGUCAAAAAGCACGUGAAAUUGUUGAAAGGGAAGCGCUUGCAGCCAGACGUGCCCGCAGUUGCUCACCUAGGCUCUCGCCUGGGGCACUCUUCUGCGGGCAGGCCAGCAUCAGUUCGGGCGGUUGGAUAAAGGCCUCUAUCACGUACCACCCUUCGGGGUGUCCUUAUAGGGGAGGCGCAACACGGCCAGCCCGAACUGAGGACCGCGCAUUCGCUAGGAUGCUGGCGUAAUGGCUGUAAGCGGCCCGUCUUGAAACACGGACCAAGGAGUCUAACAUCUAUGCGAGUGUUUGGGUGUAAAGCCCGGGCGCGCAAUGAAAGUGAACGGAGGUGGGAACCCCUCGGGGUGCACCAUCGACCGAUCCUGAAGUCUUCGGAUGGAUUUGAGUAAGAGCAUAGCUGUUGGGACCCGAAAGAUGGUGAACUAUGCCUGAAUAGGGUGAAGCCAGGGGAAACCCUGGUGGAGGCUCGCAGCGGUUCUGACGUGCAAAUCGAUCGUCAAAUUUGGGCAUAGGGGCGAAAGACUAAUCGAACCAUCUAGUAGCUGGUUCCUGCC
rnacentral:rRNA from 1 species